GGGGGGUUAGCUCAGUUGGCUAGAGCGCUACGCUGGCAGCGUCGAGGUCAUGGGUUCGAAUCCCAUACUCUCCACAA
rnacentral:tRNA from 1 species